rnacentral:tRNA from 1 species
GCACCCGUAGCUCAGCUGGAUAGAGUGUUGGAUUCCRAUUCCAAAGGUCACAGGUUCGAAUCCUGUCGGGUGCGCCA